AUCUGGGUCGGGGACCGUGUAUGGUGGGUAGUUUGACUGGGGCGGUCUCCUCCUAAAGAGUAACGGAGGAGCUCGAAGGUACGCUCAGCGCGGUCGGACAUCGCGCACUGUGUGCAAAGGCAUAAGCGUGCUUGACUGCAAGAUCGACGGAUCAAGCAGGUAGGAAACUAGGACUUAGUGAUCCGGUGGUUCUGUAUGGAAGGGCCAUCGCUCAACGGAUAAAAGGUACUCCGGGGAUAACAGGCUGAUACCGCCCAAGAGUUCAUAUCGACGGCGGUGUUUGGCACCUCGAUGUCGGCUCAUCACAUCCUGGGGCUGUAGUCGGUCCCAAGGGUAUGGCUGUUCGCCAUUUAAAGUGGUACGCGAGCUGGGUUCAGAACGUCGUGAGACAGUUCGGUCCCUAUCUGCCAUGGGCGUUGGAGAUUUGAGAGGGGCUGCUCCUAGUACGAGAGGACCGGAGUGGACGAACCUCUGGUGUUCCGGUUGUCACGCCAGUGGCAUUGCCGGGUAGCUAUGUUCGGAAGCGAUAACCGCUGAAAGCAUCUAAGCGGGAAGCGCGCCUCAAGAUGAGAUCUCCCGGGGCACAAGCCCCCUGAAGGAACCAUGUAGACUACGUGGUUGAUAGGUCAGGUGUGUAAGUACAGCAAUGUAUUGAGCUAACUGAUACUAAUGAUCCGUGCGGCUUGACCAUAUAACCUCA
rnacentral:rRNA from 1 species